rnacentral:rRNA from 1 species
CAGGGGGUGCAAACGUUGCUCGGAAUUAUUGGGCGUAAAGCGCGCGUAGGUGGUGACUCAAGUCGGAUGUGAAAGCCCUUGGCUUAACCGAGGAAGUGCAUCCGAAACUGAGUCGCUAGAGUACGAAAGAGGGUCGCGGAAUUCCCGGUGUAGAGGUGAAAUUCGUAGAUAUCGGGAGGAACACCGGUGGCGAAGGCGGCGACCUGGGUCGAUACUGACACUGAGGCGCGAAAGCGUGGGGAGCAAACAGGAUUAGAUACCCUGGUAGUCCACGCCGUAAACGAUGGGUGCUAGAUGCUCCUGGUAUUGACCCCGGGGGCGUCGUAGCUAACGCGUUAAGCACCCCGCCUGGGGAGUACGGCCGCAAGGCUA